rnacentral:lncRNA from 1 species
GCCUGACACACACUGGCUUGACUUUCUGAGGGCAACUCAAUAAUUCAUGAAUAAUUAUGUUCUAUGUUGUCCUCUCUCUGUUUCCCGUUGCUUUCCUCUCUUCAUUUUCUGACUGAAAUCAACUUUAACUUCUUCUCUACUGGGCUGAGUCAUUACCAUGACAACAGAGUGAGACAGAGGAACCCUACAGCCAGGAGGAUGGGAUGAAAGGGUGGGGGGACUGGGGGUAGAGAGGAGAGAGAGACAGAGAGAGAGAGAGAGAGAGAGAGAGAGAGACAGACAGACAGACAGACAGACAGACAGACAGACAGACAGACAGACAGACAGACAGACAGACAGACAGACAGACAGACAGACAGACAGACAGACCCAUGCUAAUAUCUGCAGCUGGGCCCUGAUGAGUUUUGUUGUCAGUGCAGCUGGGUUGGGACAGAGAAAGCGGCCCGGAUUCCAGCACUCCCCCACGGGCAUAAAUCUUACCCAGCUGGAGACUGCAACCACUGCAACAAUGCCACCAGCUCAUUCUGUGCCAAGCUGGCUGGCCUUGUAUACGCAUACACGCAUACACACGCUCACAACUAAAUGACAUGCAUUGUUGUGUGUUGUGUUGUGGCUAGGGGGUGGGGACUGCAGUUGUCUGUUGUUGUAGUAAGACUUGUGGGAUGCAUAUAUUAAUCAUCUAUCAUUGGCUCAAAGACUGGGCGCUAAAUGAAAGACCAGUCACACAAACCGGCUAAUUAUUCCUUUCAGUCCUAUUGGCUUUGUCUACAUAACAGAGACAGACAAGUUCAUGUCAUGGUCAUACGCCCUGUGUUUGGUAGUAGGGGUGGGAAACUAACAUCUCUCUCUAGUCCUUCCUCCUUCAUUUAUGUAACGACCAAAUAAAAGGUGAGUACUUGUGAUUUUAAUGUACUUUUGUCAUCAAUAUAAUCCUUAGACUAUUCCUGGGGCGGCAGGUAGCCUAGUGGUUAGAGACAGGUAGCCUAUUGGUUAGAGACAGGUAGCCUAGUGGUUAGAGGCAGGUAGCCUAGUGGUUAGAGGCAGGUAGCCUAGUGGUUAGAGGCAGGUAGCCUAGUGGUUAGAGGCAGGUAGCCUAGUGGUUAGAGGCAGGUAGCCUAGUGGUUAGAGGCAGGUAGCCUAGUGGUUAGAGGCAGGUAGCCUAGUGGUUAGAGGCAGGUAGCCUAGUGGUUAGAGGCAGGUAGCCUAGUGGUUAGAGACAGGUAGCCUAGUGGUUAGAGACAGGUAGCCUAGUGGUUAGAGGCAGGUAGCCUAGUGGUUAGAGCUUUGGGCCAGUAACUGAAAGGUUGUGAGAUCAAAUCCCUAAACUGACAAGGUAAAAAUCUGUUGUUCUGCCCCUGAACCAGGCAGUUAACCCAUUGUUCCUAGGCUGUCAUUGUAAAUAAGAAUUUGUUCUUAACUAACUGACUGACUUGCCUGGUUAAAGAAAAAUCCAAAAUAAAAAUUCCAUGAGAAAAGAUGUCUUUAAACUGCAUUUUUAAAGUAAAAAAAAUGUAACAAUUUCUUCAUAUCAUUUAAACUGUGGCUGAAACUGAUGACAGUCUGGCCCUGACUGAAGGAACACUGACAACCAGACAGGCUCCUUGCAACAGUGUGACAAUACGACGCAUGGCCACCACACACACACACACACACACACACACACACACACAC